rnacentral:lncRNA from 1 species
CCGAAUUGGCAGACGUCCAUAAUGUCUUCCAUGUAUCCUCAUUACGAAAAUAUCAGCCUGACCCAUCCCAUAUCUUGAAUAUGAAUCUUUACCAAUCAGGAAUGACCUAUCAUUCAUUAAACAACCAAUUUUGAUACUGGAUAGGAGGGUGCACGUGUUGCGCAACAAGGAGAUUCCUUUGGUCCGUAUAUUAUGGCAGUACCAUUCAAUAGAUGAGUCGACUUGGGAACGAG